rnacentral:rRNA from 1 species
AUUGAACGCUGGCGGCAGGCCUAACACAUGCAAGUCGAGCGGAGCGGCGGACGGGGGAGUAAUGGCUGGGAAACUGCCUGAUGGAGGGGGAUAACUACUGGAAACGGUAGCUAAUACCGCGUACUAUCAGAUGAGCCUAGGUCGGAUUGGCUAGUGGGUGGGUUAAAGGCCUACCAAGGCGACGAUCAGUAACUGGUCUGAGAGGAUGAUCAGUCACACUGGCACUGAGACAGGGUCCAGACUCCUACGGGGGGCAGCAGUGGGGAAUAGUGGACGAUGGGCGAAAGCCUGAUCCAGCCAAGCCGCGUGUGUGAAGAAGGUCUUCGGAUUGGAAAGCACUGUAAGUUGGGAGGCGUUACCAACAGAAUAAGCACCGGCUAACUUCGUGCCAGCAGCCGCGGUAAUUC